rnacentral:rRNA from 1 species
GGCUCAGAACGAACGCCGGCGGCGUGCUUAACACAUGCAAGUCGAGCGAUGAACCACCUUCGGGUGGGGAUUAGCGGCGAACGGGUGAGUAACACGUGGGCAACCUGCCCCUAGCUCUGGGAUAACUCCGGGAAACCGGGGCUAAUACCGGAUACGACUUCCUGCGGCAUCACGGGAAGUGGAAAGUUUUUCGGCUAGGGAUGGGCCCGCGGCCUAUCAGCUUGUUGGUGGGGUAACGGCCCACCAAGGCGACGGCGGGUAGCCGGCCUGAGAGGGCGACCGGCCACACUGGGACUGAGACACGGCCCAGACUCCUACGGGAGGCAGCAGUGGGGAAUAUUGCGCAAUGGGCGAAAGCCUGACGCAGCGACGCCGCGUGAGGGAUGAAGGCCUUCGGGUUGUAAACCUCUUUCAGCAGGGACGAAGCGAAAGUGACGGUACCUGCAGAAGAAGCACCGGCCAACUACGUGCCAGCAGCCGCGGUAAUACGUAGGGUGCAAGCGUUGUCCGGAAUUAUUGGGCGUAAAGAGCUCGUAGGCGGUCUGUCGCGUCGGCUGUGAAAACUCGGGGCUCAACCCCGAGCCUGCAGUCGAUACGGGCAGACUAGAGUGCUGUAGGGGAGACUGGAAUUCCUGGUGUAGCGGUGAAAUGCGCAGAUAUCAGGAGGAACACCGGUGGCGAAGGCGGGUCUCUGGGCAGUAACUGACGCUGAGGAGCGAAAGCGUGGGGAGCGAACAGGAUUAGAUACCCUGGUAGUCCACGCCGUAAACGGUGGGUGCUAGGUGUAGGGGGUAUUCCACGCCCUCUGUGCCGCAGCUAACGCAUUAAGCACCCCGCCUGGGGAGUACGGCCGCAAGGCUAAACUCAA